GGAGCAGGAAGAUACAGUCAGAGAGACAUGGAUGUGAUCCAUGUGUCAUCACCUACUAGCUGUGUGAAGAAGAGCCAACUAACUUUGCUUUUUCUCCGGCUUCAUCUUUAAAGUGGGCAUAACUGUGGCCUCAUCCUAAGAUUGUUGUAGGAAUUAAAGAGAUAAACUUGGUGGAGAAGACAGCACCUUCCGAGUGCCCCAUAACUAGUCCAAAAGAAGAAGACAAGAAGAAAAUCAGGAAUUGUAUCAUGAUACGGGGGUGGAAGUAAAGGGUCAUGCUCAGCCUGGGGUAAAGAAUCAGGGGACAGGGCAAGAGAGCUUCCUGCCAGUACCUGAAAGGCUUCUCCACUAUCUUUCUGAGUUGCUUCAGGAGCAGAAGUAAGGUGUAUGUGUGGAAGUUUCUGGCAGAGACAUCCUAGUAAACCACAUUAGACAAGAUCAGAAAUGGCCACCAUGGGGCUUAUGAGAGAGGAAGGCUCCCUGACUUGAUUCAUCUUUCAUCUUCCCCAGUGACCAUCGGAGAUUUGAGCAUGCAUUACCUAGAUGCUUUAAGCCUUAUUCUGUUGAAGACAGAGGCUGAACUCUAUCACACCAGGGUUCCUCCUGACCAAGGAAUCUUUGGGCCUGACCUCCCGAUUAGGCAUUGCCCCUGCUCCCAACUCCUGUUUUUUGGCCACUCUCUAAGUCCUUUUCUUUUCCCUGAUACGCUCCACCUCCUCCUUUCCUUAGUUCACUCUCCCAUGAUCUCACAAUUUAUGAGGAGGGUAUUAUAAACCACCCUCACCCCACUUCAUUGUCCAAACAAGUAACCUGUAAGGAAGAGUCAUCUCACAGCCAAUCAUCCAAAAUCCUGAAAUGAUCCUGAAAUACAGGAAUAUUAGACAAUGGUCUUAGUUUUUAUUUUAAACUUAAUGAUCUGACCCAGGCUCACUUUCAAGUUUAGCCUUUAACAUCAUCUAAUCUAAAGGAAAUGAAGGACUGAAAAUAGGGAUGUCAAUACUCGAGUUUGUCCUGAUUUUUCGCUGGGACCCUGGAUAAUCACUUAACAUUUCUAGCAUGGGAAACAUUUAUAUUAUUGUAAAUGGUCUCCAAAUUUCUUAGAUAAAACCUGUAGUUUCCACUCAUAAGAUGCAUGCAUGACUAUCUGUUAAUUCAUUUAUCUUUAUCAAUAUUAACCUUUCUGAUUCUCAUCAAAUACUCUGAGAAAACACAGUCAAGGUCCUCAUUCAGUAAGUCCUGUCUGCAGUCCAAAGGGGACCUGGGUCAGGUACGUGGCACUCUCCCCAGCCAGCUGAGUCAUUUCACUCACCUGUCUCUCCAAGUGGCACCUGUCUGGAGGGGCUUUGAGUGGUCUGAGGAGGCUCCAACCCAGACUCUUUUAUUGUGGAUUCAGCCUGGGCUGGGAGAACAACCAGAAUUCCCACAGGUUUCUUGGCUCCAGCUGUAGCUCUACAGUUACUGAAAUCACUUGUCAAACUACUUCUCUGUUCAGGUAACCUUAGUUUGGUACUACCCAGUGAGUAAUGGAAUUUCCUUCUCUGUGAAGACAGCCCAGGAUAAGACAGAUGUUUCCACAUGUGUGUCAGUCUGUGGCUAUCUCAGGCUCCAGCAGGGCAUUCGUUUGAUGUGGAGCCCAAAGGUGAAAGGCCAUCAUGGGUGCAGGCUCUUGGAGGCUGAGCCUUCUCCUUUGUGUCACUCCAAUUUCUCUGAACCCUGCUUUCCCCAUGCUUCUUCUUUUGUGCCAUGACCAAGGUUCCCCCUUUAAUACCUCUGGAACAUUGCCUCUCCACCUUAUGGACAGGUAAAAAUCUGGAAAUACCCAACCCCACAAUCAAAUUGUGAAACACACAUACACACACACACCAAAUUCCAAAGUAAAUUCUAGUGGGAUAGAAAGUGGGAGUUAAAGACCCUUGACUAAAACUCAUAGUUUUUGGAAGUGAUUUGGAAUCUUGCCCUUUCCAUAAAGACAUAAUCAUUUGGGGACUUCUACAUCCAGGAAUACUCUGUUCUUCAGUUUCAUGAUUUGUCAACAUAGAGUAAUACAGAAAUACAUAUAGAGCCGCUAUUGCUUCUCUCUCUCUCUUUUUCUGACAGUAUUAACUCCAGAUUUUGGCCUUCCAUUACAGGGUGAUGGAUUCAAUUUUCUUUCCGACUUUCAGUGACUAAGAGCUAUUUAGGAUGUUUGGGAGUCCAGAGUUUCUGAUUCACUUUUGGUUUUGGACUUUGAUCAGGGCAGGCAAAGACCUUCCAUCCACCCCUUCUCCUGCACACCCCUGAUGUUUCGAUGGCACAGUGAGAAGCUCAGAGCCAGCAGCUGUGAACUGGUGGUGCCCAGGGCUUAUUUCUAGGAAAGCUGCACAGGGAAGGAAACUCCAUGGGACACAAGAAAGAGGUUAAGUACCCUGUGAGGAAACAUGGAGAAGUUGGUUUCACAUUUUACUCUGUGUCCAUACAGGUGUGAGAGGAGCCAUUGCAGCUCCUCAGAUCCAUCCAGGGAGACGUGCAGGAGAGAGAGGAGCAGGGAUGAAAGGGGCAAGUUCUCCCUGAGGAUUGCUCUGGAGAAAGUAAGAGACAUGUGGAGCUCUGGGGAAGGAUAGUGGCUGACUCCCGGGAUGGGUAAGCUGUGAAGGGGAUUAUCCCAAUGAGGGGACAGCAUAGGUAGGUGUCGGUGCCAUGUGAGAAGGGCACAACCACUGCCCUAAGCCUUUUCAUCCUUUCAUACAACCUCAGGGCAAACUUGCUCCUGAACCAGCUCCCAGACCCUAACUGGGGUUUGUUCCCUUGCACUGUGCCCUUACAGCAACUUGAGAAUAAUUUUACUAUACAUAUUUGACUAAUAUUGUUGUCUUUUUAUAUAUGUGCCCUCCUUACAGGACUGUGAGUUCUAGGGCUGAUAUAAUGUUUCAGGCAUGUCUUGGCCCACUACCUGGCACCCUGUGGUUCACCAAGACUGAUAUCAACAGUAGGUUGGGGCUGCCUGUCUGUAACCUCUUUUCUUCUGCUUAAAAUCCUUGGAGAAGAGGGUAGGGGAAGAGUGAGAGUCUUAGUCUCAUUCCAGGAGGCCCAGACUCUCCGGGGACCCUGUUCUUCUUAUCUUUUCAUACCCGUCCAACUCCCCUGAAGGAACUUCUAAGGGAAAUACAAAUGUGGCUACUGUUGGGUAACUGGCAAACUUAAGUUUUUGGUGCAUAGCUGAAUGUUGUCAAGUGUUUUCAGGAACUGGAAAGUAAUAUUCUGCAACCAGGAAACCAUGCUAAAUCCUUUCUUAAAAUUAUACUAUUCGUUAUUUACAUAUUCCAUGUUUAUGUUCUGCCUUCUAUACCUUAAGGGCAGGGACUCCAUCUGUCUGUUCCAGUGCCUGGAGCAGUAGCGGACCCACAGUGGAGACUUCAUAAAUAUUUACUGACUGACUGUUGACUUACCCCUGGCCAGACUGAAAACUGGCUGCACCAGGAUAAAAGGGCCCUAGCAUGACCCUGUUCAUGCCACUUGGACACCUGAGGCAUGGAGCAGCGGGAGAGGCAGGCUUUCAUCAAUCCAGGAAAGGUGUCCUAUCAGCAGCAGCAUCAAUGCCAACUCCCCUGCCAGCCCCCUCCCAAGGUGCCUGAACCUUGUCCUCUAGCCCCCAGCCAGCAGACGUAUCCUCCUGUGCAGCGUCCCCUGUGCCAGCAGGAAUGCCUGCCAAAGCAGAAGUGACACCUCCGAAGCCAUCUUCUCCUAAACCCAGGCAAGGAGCCGCUGCAUCUUCCUCCUCCCCGACUCCCUCCUUCCAGUCCCAAUGGCACACACACAGCCUCAGAAGAAGCUACCUCUCAGCUGACUCAAAGAGAAUGGCACAGUCUCCUGUCACAGGUUUUCCUGCAAUUAAUCAACUGAUUGCUCUCAGUUUCAACCCCCGGCAACCAGCAAGGAAUAGAGUGCAGUGUCAUGUUAUCAAGGCCUUCCCUGGAGAAAUAUUUAUUAUAUCCUCUGGGGCCAAGACAGCCCAGUUCCAGCUGCUGUCUCCCAACUCCUGCUGCCUCUGUUGGCCUGAGAACACUUGUAGAAUGAUGGAAGAAGACUCUCCUCCUGCCUUUCUCCAAAUGUUUUUGAAAUUAUGAGAAGCCAGUAUUCUUUUAAGUAACUGUCUUAAAUAAGUGGAAAAUUCUCCAAGUUUCCACCCUUUCUGCACUCUUCAGUUAAGGCAAUGAAAUCUUCUGACCUCAUCUUCAGUCCAAAGACAGCUGACAGCAUCUCUGUCACCGAGCCUGGGCACUCCCAACUCUGUGAUGCUGUUACUUCCUUCUCACUACUUUCAAUAAAUUCAGUUGUACCUGUGA